rnacentral:tRNA from 1 species
GCCGGAGUGGCGGAAUAGGUAUACGCAGGGGAUUCAAAAUCCCCCGGUCGCAAGGCCGUGCGGGUUCGAGUCCCGCCUCCGGCACCA